AGAAAAAUAAGCUAAAUUAAGCUUUUGAAUUCAUAAUUCAAAUAUAGAAAAUCUUUUUUCUA
rnacentral:tRNA from 1 species